UAACACAUGCAAGUCGAGCGGCACCUUCGGGUGUAGCGGCGGACGGGUUAGUAACGCGUGGGAACGUACCCUUCUCUACGGAAUAGCCUCGGGAAACUGAGAGUAAUACCGUAUACGCCCUUCGGGGGAAAGAUUUAUCGGGGAAGGAUCGGCCCGCGUCUGAUUAGAUAGUUGGUGGGGUAAUGGCCUACCAAGUCUACGAUCAGUAGCUGGUUUUAGAGGAUGAUCAGCAACACUGGGACUGAGACACGGCCCAGACUCCUACGGGAGGCAGCAGUGGGGAAUCUUAGACAAUGGGCGCAAGCCUGAUCUAGCCAUGCCGCGUGAGUGAUGAAGGCCUUAGGGUCGUAAAGCUCUUUCGCCAGAGAUGAUAAUGACAGUAUCUGGUAAAGAAACCCCGGCUAACUCCGUGCCAGCAGCCGCGGUAAUACGGAGGGGGUUAGCGUUGUUCGGAAUUACUGGGCGUAAAGCGCACGUAGGCGGAUCAGAAAGUUGGGGGUGAAAUCCCAGGGCUCAACCCUGGAACGGCCUCCAAAACUCCUGGUCUUGAGUUCGAGAGAGGUGAGUGGAAUUCCGAGUGUAGAGGUGAAAUUCGUAGAUAUUCGGAGGAACACCAGUGGCGAAGGCGGCUCACUGGCUCGAUAC
rnacentral:rRNA from 1 species